AACGCUAGCUACAGGCUUAACACAUGCAAGUCGAGGGGCAGCAUGGUCUUAGCUUGCUAAGACUGAUGGCGACCGGCGCACGGGUGAGUAACACGUAUCCAACCUGCCGAUAACUCCGGAAUAGCCUUUCGAAAGAAAGAUUAAUACCGGAUAGCAUACGAAUAUCGCAUGAUAUUUUUAUUAAAGAAUUUCGGUUAUCGAUGGGGAUGCGUUCCAUUAGUUUGUUGGCGGGGUAACGGCCCACCAAGACUACGAUGGAUAGGGGUUCUGAGAGGAAGGUCCCCCACAUUGGAACUGAGACACGGUCCAAACUCCUACGGGAGGCAGCAGUGAGGAAUAUUGGUCAAUGGGCGAGAGCCUGAAUCAGCCAAGUAGCGUGAAGGAUGAAGGCUCUAUGGGUCGUAAACUUCUUUUAUAUGGGAAUAAAGUUUUCCACGUGUGGAAUUUUGUAUGUACCAUAUGAAUAAGGAUCGGCUAACUCCGUGCCAGCAGCCGCGGUAAUACGGAGGAUCCGAGCGUUAUCCGGAUUUAUUGGGUUUAAAGGGAGCGUAGGUGGAUUGUUAAGUCAGUUGUGAAAGUUUGCGGCUCAACCGUAAAAUUGCAGUUGAAACUGGCAGUCUUGAGUACAGUAGAGGUGGGCGGAAUUCGUGGUGUAGCGGUGAAAUGCUUAGAUAUCACGAAGAACUCCGAUUGCGAAGGCAGCUCACUAGACUGUCACUGACACUGAUGCUCGAAAGUGUGGGUAUCAAACAGGAUUAGAUACCCUGGUAGUCCACACAGUAAACGAUGAAUACUCGCUGUUUGCGAUAUACAGUAAGCGGCCAAGCGAAAGCAUUAAGUAUUCCACCUGGGGAGUACGCCGGCAACGGUGAAACUCAAAGGAAUUGACGGGGGCCCGCACAAGCGGAGGAACAUGUGGUUUAAUUCGAUGAUACGCGAGGAACCUUACCCGGGCUUAAAUUGCAACAGAAUAUAUUGGAAACAGUAUAGCCGUAAGGCUGUUGUGAAGGUGCUGCAUGGUUGUCGUCAGCUCGUGCCGUGAGGUGUCGGCUUAAGUGCCAUAACGAGCGCAACCCUUAUCUUUAGUUACUAACAGGUCAUGCUGAGGACUCUAGAGAGACUGCCGUCGUAAGAUGUGAGGAAGGUGGGGAUGACGUCAAAUCAGCACGGCCCUUACGUCCGGGGCUACACACGUGUUACAAUGGGGGGUACAGAAGGCGGCUACCUGGUGACAGGAUGCUAAUCCCAAAAACCUCUCUCAGUUCGGAUCGAAGUCUGCAACCCGACUUCGUGAAGCUGGAUUCGCUAGUAAUCGCGCAUCAGCCAUGGCGCGGUGAAUACGUUCCCGGGCCUUGUACACACCGCCCGUCAAGCCAUGAAAGCCGGGGGUACCUGAAGUACGUAACCGCAAGGAGCGUUCUAGGGUAAAACUGGUAAUUGG
rnacentral:rRNA from 1 species